rnacentral:tRNA from 1 species
GUGGGUAUAACUCAGUUUGGUAGAGUGUUAGAUUGUGGCUCUAAAUGUCACGGGUUCGAAUCCCGUUACCCACC